rnacentral:rRNA from 1 species
AGUGAACGCUGGCGGCAGGCCUAACACAUGCAAGUCGAACGGCCACACAGUAAGCUCUUGCCCCUACCGUUGGCGAGUGGCGGAUGGGUGAGGCAUACAUCACCAACUUCUAUUUCGUGGGUGACUACGUAAGGCAACUUACGCUACUACCGCAUACGUCCUACCGGAUAAUGCAGGGGAUCUACGCACUUUUCCCGACUGUAUGAGCUGAAGUCGGAUUAGCUAGUUGGCGAGGUAACGGACCACCAAGGCGACGCUGCGUAGCUGACCUGAGAGGAUGAUCGGCCACACUGGAACUGAGACACGGUCCAGACUCCUACGGGAGGCAGCAGUAGGGAAUAUUGGGCAAUGGGCGAAAGCCUGAUGGAGCCAUGCCGCGUGAGUGAAGAAGGUCUUCGGGUUGUAAAGCGCUUUUAUUAGGGAAGAAAAGCUGUGUAAGAAAACAUGGAUGUUCUGACGGUACCCAAAGAAUAAGCACCGGCUAACUUCGUG